ensembl:lncRNA
AUGGCUCCUACUACCAAGGCGGCGAUAACUACAACUCGCCGGUUCCUCCAAAACACGGCGGAAAGAAACAGCAGCAUGGAGGACAGCAAAAACCCUCCUACGGUUCGGGCUAUCAGUCCCACCAGGGCCAGCAGCAGCAGUCCUACAACCAAAACCAGUACAGUAACUAUGGCCCGCCGCAGGGCAAACAGAAAGGCUACAACCACGGCCAAGGCAACUAUUCCUCCUACUCCAAUUCCUACAACUCGCCUGGCGGCGGAGGCUCCGAUUACAACUACGAGAGCAAAUUUAGUUACGGUGGCAACAGCGGCCGUGGAGGCGGAGGAAAUAACUAUUCGGGAGGUGCCUCCUACAACACCGGCUCACACGGUGGCUAUGGGGGAGGAUCUGGGGGCGGAGGGUCCUCGUACCAAGGUGGAUAUUCCUCUCAGUCCAACUACAACUCCCCCGGUUCAGGCCAAAAUUACAGCGGCCCCCCCAGCUCCUACCAGGCAUCCCAAGGCGGCUACGGCAGAAACGACCACAGCAUGAAUUACCAGUACAGAUAAAGCCGCCCCUUCCUCCAUGGGCGUGGAGCUUUGUUCCCUCCUGCGCUCACCCACCCUUUGAAUAUUCAGUUUUAUCGCAUCACGGUAAACACGUAAACCCCUCCCUUGCCCCCCUCCCCCCCCCCCCGUUUCCAUGUUGCAGUGCUCUUUGUGAUACCGGUCACUAAUGGUUGAGUACCUGUAAUUCCAUACUUAGCUGUAUUUUGGGCAUCUCUGUAUUUAAUGGUUUGUUAGUUGCCAUUACGACUUUGUCUAAAUAGGAAUUUUUGGGGGUUUUGUUUUGUUUUUGGUUUUUUUUUGAGUUAAUACAAUUUCAGUAUCCUUUUUCUAUUUAAAAAUUUACGUGGAAGUGUGAACACAGUAUGGCUUUAAAUAGAUAAGGGAUAUGUCAUCUGUUAAUGCUUUUGUGAAGUGAGUUAAACAAGCUUUCUGUAUUUUAAUGCUUUAGUGUUUCAGUUUUAUAAGUGAAGAUUUUAUUUUAAAAACCAGUGGGAAAGAGUGGGUUUUGUAUGCCUGAAUCCCUCAGGCAGUACAUCUGGAGUAAGCUGAAUGUAGACAAAUAAACACAAAACUCUUGAUGUCUUGGUCUCCUAGCAUGUCAUUUCAUGGUGUGUGCCACUGUGGCAGCCUCCUGCCUCUCUUAAAAAAAAAAAAAAAAAAAAAAAAAUUCAGAAUAUUCUCUACUUUCUGCAAUUUGAAUGACCUUAAACUCUCGGUUUUGAGACUAAACCGCCCCAGGAGCUUUGGCCAGGAGGAGAUUAUGGACUUCCGAGAGCGCGGCAGCCUGAGGCCACCGGAGGAGCAAGCAGGGCUGGCUCGAGCCUUGGGUAAGACCAAAUUAUUGCCUUUGCUGGUGAUUAAACCACUGCGCCGGAGACGACAACGGCAGCGGCAGCUGCCCGGGCCCACCGCGUGAGGGGGCCGCCUCCAUUCCUGCGCCGCGGUGGGUGUCGGGAAGAGGCGCCGAAUUCUUGACACAGGGUGGGGCAUUCGAGGAGAGACCCUUGAACUUGAGAAGGUUCAUGGUGUGACAGUUCACAGCAAGGGCCAGUGGGGACUUCCUGGUGUAGAUAAUCCUCAUGGCUCUUGGGCAAUUUCCCAGCCCUGCCAGAUCCUGCCUGUAACUACAGCACUCCUCAAAACCAUAAGAAAAUUAAACAGGGAUAGUGGCUUCAGUUUACUCACCUUUCUGGGAAAGGUGGAGCGGCAUUUGCAAGGCUGGGAACGCGCAGGUGUCGUCCCAAGGGAACCGAGGGUGCGGAGCAGCUCCUGCUCCCAAAUAUUCCGGCACCUCUCUGGUGCCGCCAACUGCCAGAUCGCAUCUCUUAAACCAAAGCUGCGGGGCAGCAGGGGUUUGAGCUACAAAACUGCCCCUUUUCCAACAAAAAUAAUACCGGAGCUGCCGCUUUAGCUCCUUUAAGCAGUGUUGGAAACAGCUGGUGCCUUAUCAGUUACUGCCCUGGUGCCGUUUGGCCAUGCGUGUUUUGCAUGUGUGUAAAUG